GCCCAGAUGGCGGAAUUGGUAGACGCGCACGGUUCAGGUCCGUGUGCCGCAAGGCGUGAAGGUUCGAGUCCUUUUCUGGGCA
rfam:Devosia chinhatensis strain IPL18 NODE_61, whole genome shotgun sequence.